rnacentral:rRNA from 1 species
CCUACGGGAGGCAGCAGUGGGGAAUAUUGGGCAAUGGGCGCAAGCCUGACCCAGCAACGCCGCGUGAAGGCAGACGGCUCUCGGGUUGUAAACUUCUUUUAUCAGGGACGAAGCAAGUGACGGUACCUGAUGAAUAAGCCACGGCUAACUACGUGCCAGCAGCCGCGGUAAUACGUAGGUGGCAAGCGUUAUCCGCAUUUACUGGGUUCACAGGGCGUGUAGGCGGUGAAGCAAGUACUAUGUGAAAACCAUGGGCUCCACCUGUGGCCUGCAUUUGAAACUGUUUUUCUUGAGUACUGGAGAGGCAGACGGAAUUCCUAGUGUAGCUGUUAAAUGCGUAGAUAUUAGGAGGAACACCAGUGGCGAAGGCGGUCUGCUGGACAGCAACUGACGCUGAGGCGCGAAAGCGUGGGGAGCAAACAGGAUUGGAUACCCCUGUAGUC